UACGUAGGGCGCAAGCGUUAUCCGGAAUUAUUGGGCGUAAAGAGCUCGUAGGCGGUUUGUCGCGUCUGCCGUGAAAAGUCCGGGGCUCAACUCCGGAUCUGCGGUGGGUACGGGCAGACUAGAGUGAUGUAGGGGGAGACUGGAAUUCCUGGUGUAGCGGUGAAAUGCGCAGAUAUCAGGAGGAACACCGGUGGCGAAGGCGGGUCUCUGGGCCGAUACUGACGCUGAGGAGCGAAAGCGUGGGGAGCGAACAGG
rnacentral:rRNA from 1 species